GUCGCAGCUUCUAUUGUCAUCCUGCUACUCUCAUUUGGGCUGUUGUUCUCUGUAAGACGUUGUUUCUUUAUCAAGAAGGCCGAUAUUCCAAGAACAGAAAUAGUUAGUCGACCAAGAGAUUCACAGACAUUGGUGGAUGGGAAUCAAGUGUCUAGCAACAUCAGUCAACCAGAACAUGAUUUAUCUGUCCGAGCUUUACCUGCGAUUCCCAAAC